CCUGUAGCUGAACUCACUCAGAGGAAGCCGUCAGUUUGGUCUGAAGGUGAAUCUGGUCGUCUGUCUGUCGCUGCGUCUCUUCUCACUGAGAACCGAACAGGAACUGACUGUCUCCUGGUUUGUCUGUUUUACUGUUCGGAGAACCUUCUGUCAAGCCCUGGGAGCAACCAUCAGCCUCUCCUCCGGAUUCCACCCUCAGUCCAACGGUCAGACGGAGAGGGCCAACCAGGACCUUGAGGCAGGCCUUCGUUGUGUAGCUGCCUCCAAUCCAUCCUCCUGGAGCUCCCAACUCCCCUGGGUUGAGUAUGCACACAACUCACUUACCUGUGCUGCUUCUGGUCUCUCUCCCUUCGAGUCUUCGCUAGGGUACCAGCCUCCUCUGUUCCCAUCCCAGGAGAGUGAGCUUGUGGUCCCGUCAGUACAACAUCACCUCCGCCCGUUGCCACAAAGUAUGGAGGGAGACCGAGCAGCACAGCACUUCUCCGAUCGGCAGAGAAGAACCGCCAGAUCGCAGACCGACACCGGAUUCCAGCGCCCACAUACGAACCAGGUCAGAAAGUUUGGUUAUCCUCCAAAAAUAUCCCAUUACGGACCGAAUCCAAGAAACUGUCUCCCCGCUACAUUGGUCCGUUUAUCAUUGAUUGCUUCUGCCGUCAGAUUCAAAUUACCCCGCUCCAUGAGAGUUCACCCCACAUUUCAGGUUUCGUAACUUAAACCAGUCUCUUCCAGCACUUUGUCCAGGUCUACACGUCAUCACCUGCCCCAAGCUUCGGAUCAGUCAGUCCAUGUCUACACAUCGCCGCUAACGCCACGCAUCGGAGUCGCUGCCUGUCCAAGUCGCCACUUCUACCCGUGUUCUGCAUGCUUGGCACAUCAUGAUAAACGAGAGGCAGCGCGAGAGCUGCUGAGAGCGCGAAGCACCUCAGACGCACUCGGUGGUUUCUCUGAGGUUUCACGCUUCUUCUGAGAAGGAGGAGGUCCUGGCUUUUUCUCAUCAGCGAGGUUUGAGCUGGAGGAUGUUUGCACCGUGGUGGGCUCGUUGACUGUGGAUUUCCCCCCCCCACCCCUCUCAUCUUCACAGUCUCGUCUUCAUCUUCAUCUCAUCAGAAAAACAGCUGCAGGAGAGGAAAUCGAUCAGCAGCAGACAUCAGAUUAUCUGCAUUUACCGUCAGGUAUUUUCCUCUCUUGUGACAGGAAAAUACCUGACUGUAAAUGUUUCUUUGUAUCUACAUUGCAUUUAUUUAGCUAACACAGCAACUUGCAAUAAGUGCAUUUCAACCAUGUGGAUAAUACAACCCAAAUAUUGCAAGAAUCACGCAGUUCAUCGAAUACGCUGAACUGCUUCAAGUGCUGCAUUUAGAAACAAUAAGAGAUGGAGAAAGAGCUUUCGACAGUUCUGUGUUCAGAGUUGUGACUCAGGAGUGCGAUUUGCGACGCAGUCAAGUUAAAUUAAGCACCUUAACUGCCUCCACGAGCUGUGUGUCACACUGACCUUCUGACCUUCCGUCUAGCGCCAACCAUCAGGUCGACAUGUUAGCGUGUGCAACGCUUCGGUUCACGACUAACGGCGUUCCCAUCAGCCUCAGCUGUGCUUUGUGUUUACUGCUAAUUAGCAAAUGUUAGCAUGCUAACACGCUAAACUAAGAUGUUGAACACGGUAAACAUUAUACCUGCAGAACGUCAGCGUGUUAGCAUGCUGAUGUUAGCAUUUAGCUUAAAGCACGGCUGCACACUCUUAGCGUUGUUCAAUAAAGUAAUCAAUAAAAAAAACUUGUAAGCAGAUCUGUAACUGCAGGUUUCUGAAAAUAGGUGAUGACAUGUUUAAGUGCAUUUAGGAUUGUACGGUAACUUUGUCGUAAACUGGCGCAAAUACAUUUCUUUGUGUUGUUUCAUGGUGUGUUUUUUUUAGGGAAAGUAUUUGGGAUUUAUUUUUGGCCAUGUCCGGAAAACCACGUCUCUACAAAGUUUUAUGUCCGGCGAAGAUUAUCUCUCUGUCUUCCCGCUCAAUUAGUAUUUUAGAAAGUGGUGAAACAUGUGACUGUUAGUUUGAACUGCAGGGCUUCCUCUGACUCUCUCGGCGCUGAACUCGGAGCGAGCUCCACAACAACUUGUGGUUGUUGCUCGUGGAGUUUGUUUUCCGGGAGCCAUGUGUUUGUGGUCGUCGCUAAACGCGGGUCAGCAGGCCGCAACCGCAGCAGCUUCCUGCCACGAUCUCUGUUCCCGGCGCUCUGCGUCCGGCUCACGCCGCAAACCAACUUCAUUUCCAGAAGGAGCUUCUUGUUCCCGCAGUGUGAUUGGAUCUGAGCGUUGGUUCCUUUUUCUUUCCAAAUCCACAGUCAGCUUUUACCACUUUUUAUUUUUUUUAGCCACAAGCUACAGAAGAGGUUGCCGCCGCUCGUACCUGCUACACCUUCCUCCAGCCAAUUUUACAAUAUUUCUCGUUUUACCGGUUUUAGUGGUCACGGUGUCGGCCGGUCGUCCACUUUGCUCCAGACUGAAACAUCUCAACUACUAUUGGAUGGAUUGCCGUGACGUUUAUGGUCCCCAGAGGAUGAACUGUAAUAACUUCUGUGACCCUCUGACUUUUCAUCAUCAGGUCAAAGUUUUUAUUCUGCGACCAAAUACCUGCAAAACUUAACUCUUAACAGAAAGAUUAAAUGCAUCGCAGAAGGCACGAGCACAUGCAGUUUGUGAUUUCUGUCGCAUUUGAUUUGUUUUUUUAAACACACUGUGUAAAUUAGAUUCGGCAUGUGGCUGUUGGAUCAGAAACAGACACGCGACCCAUUUUGAAUUAUGAGCCGAAGCUUUAAAAAUGCUGCCUCAAUUCAAUUCAAACUUUAUUUCUAUAGCAGCUUCCAGCAACCGAAACUGAACCAAAGUGCUUCACAACAUUAAAAACAAGAUAAAAAAAAUAAUAAUAAUGAUAAUAACAAAUAAUAAUAAAAGUACAAAUCAUCGUGUAUGUGUCACAUUAUUUGCUUAAAACCACCAGCAUAUAUUUAUUUUAGGCUUCGGACAUUUGAGAUCGUGUCGAAAGCUCAGUCACACUACUGUCACAGUACAAUUCUGACGUACUUGUACUUUACUUGAGUAUUUCUUUGUACUCGUACUCCACUACAGCAGCAUUAAAGUGAUGAACACAUUAACGAAUCAGUAAUUAUAAUUAACAAUUAUAUAAUAUACAUGAAAUAGGUCAUUCUGCAUAACGAGACUUUCGGUGCUUUAACAUCUUGAUGCUUUUGUACUUAAGUGACAUUUUGAAUGCAGGACUUUCACUUCACUACACUGUGGCGUUACUACUUUUACUUAAGUAAAACAUCUGAGUACUCCUUCCACCAACGAUGGCCAUUAACUGACUUCCUUCCUGCGUUAGCUGUUCGCUUGAUGGAGACGACACUGAAGUCAGAUGAUGGAGAAAGAGACGAG